UUGCAAAAACUGUGCUUAAAGACGAGAAAUAUGGAACCGAUGUAAUCUCCACAAGGUGAUCGGUUUCGGGCACGUCAUGACUCCCAUCGUGAAAAUCAUAAACAGCAUCCGCUACAGAGCUAAACAGCACAGAACAUUCAAGAUCCUAUUGGAGGAGCUGUCAGAUGAAUAUGGUGACCUGCUACUAUACACGGAAAUCCGAUGGUUCAGCAGGGGACGAAUUUUGUUUCGUUUUUUGUCACUUUUGGGUGAAAUCAAGGAGUUCAUUCAGUCCAAAGGCGAAGACACCUCGCUGCUGGAGGACAUUGAGUGGACACUUGACCUUGGAUUUUUAACGGACGUUACUGGGAAACUGAACCAUUUGUAAACCAAAGACAGACUCAACAUGAACAGCAACAUCUUCACUUGAUGUGUCAUCUGUCGUGCAUGGCAUUGGCCUUCUGGAAAGAGCAUCAGCUACAGCCAGCGUUUUUCCAGCUGACGCUGCUGCAAGGAGCUGCCUCCGCUGGAUGGUUAAUGCCUAUCGUGGUGGUGAUUAGGACAGGCACUGUAUUGUCGUGUACAGUUUUCAGUCAAGCCGGAGACCUGAGUGAGCAGGAGCGUGUGCAGAAGACCAACUGGAGAGUUGGUGAACAGAACGUCACCAUUUGAAAUCUCACUGAGAGAGCAACCACUUCUGUCUUCAGCCCAGGAGGGGGAAGUUACUAUGCCCUCCCUCUAGCAUCAUCAUCAGUGUUGCUGUGGACACAUCUGGAAACAGGCCAAGGCAGUUCUCCUCCAUACCCUGGAUGAAAAUCGCUGCUUGGCUGAUUGCAAAAAGGUCCCAGCUCAACAACGUAUCCCUGGGCAAAUGGUUUGGCUAUUCUUCUGAGACAUGAUGCUUAAAUGCAUUUCCAGAAAGCAAGUUCCCAGGCACAUAAUUAACCCUUCCACUGUCCAUCACAAGCUCCUAAGAAGACACAUCAAUAAAGUAGUGCAGCGAACUUCACACCGCCUCAGAAGGGCUGAGCAAGUUCACCUCAAGUCUCUUCAAGCCCUGGAGGUCUACUUUACUCUCUGGAUUCAACUUGUUUUCCCGCUGUUGCCAUCACCUCUGUGACUGAGCUGCAUCCAGGGUUCACGCAUUAAUCAGAAGACACACUUCUUAAAAAGGCAAAAAUCAGCUGUGCAUAAUUGAUGCACAAUUGGAAAGUAAAGCAGACAUUAAAGAGCAAAUACAAACGGCACUCUUUUACUCCCGGGUUGUCACAUUCAGUUUCCUCUGUGCACAUCAGAGAGAAACAAAAUAGGGCAGACGUGAUUUGAUUUCAUGACAUCUGUUUCACUAAUUACAGCAGUAUGUCU